CCUACGGGUGGCAGCAGUCGAGAAUUAUUCACAAUGGGGGAAACCCUGAUGGUGCGACGCCGCGUGGGGGAAUGAAGGUCUUCGGAUUGUAAACCCCUGUCAUGUGGGAGCAAAUUAAAAAGAUAGUACCACAAGAGGAAGAGACGGCUAACUCUGUGCCAGCAGCCGCGGUAAUACAGAGGUCUCAAGCGUUGUUCGGAAUCACUGGGCGUAAAGCGUGCGUAGGCUGUUUCGUAAGUCGUGUGUGAAAGGCGCGGGCUCAACCCGCGGACGGCACAUGAUACUGCGAGACUAGAGUAAGGGAGGGGGAACCGGAAUUCUCGGUGUAGCAGUGAAAUGCGUAGAUAUCGAGAGGAACACUCGUGGCGAAGGCGGGUUCCUGGACAUUAACUGACGCUGAGGCACGAAGGCCAGGGGAGCGAAAGGGAUUAGAUACCCUUGUAGUC
rnacentral:rRNA from 1 species